rnacentral:rRNA from 1 species
UACGUAGGGUGCAAGCGUUAAUCGGAAUUACUGGGCGUAAAGCGUGCGCAGGCGGUUAUGUAAGACAGAUGUGAAAUCCCAGGGCUCAACCUUGGAACUGCAUUUGUGACUGUAUAGCUAGAGUACGGUAGAGGGGGAUGGAAUUCCGCGUGUAGCAGUGAAAUGCGCAGAAUAUCAGGAGGAACACCGGUGGCGAAGGCGGGUCUCUGGGCAAUUCCUGACGCUGAGGCGCGAAAGCGUGGGGGAGCAAACGGGG